rnacentral:rRNA from 1 species
UACAUGUGGGGCAAGCGUUGUUCGGAAUUACUGGGCAUAAAGGGUGCGUAGGCGGCUUGUUAAGUCAGGGGUGAAAUCCCACGGCCCAACCGUGGAACUGCCUUUGAUACUGGCGAGCUUGAGUGCGUGAGGGGUAACCGGAACGAGUAGUGUAGCGGUGAAAUGCGUAGAUAUUACUCGGAAGGCCAACGGCGAAGGCAGGUUACUGGUACGCAACUGACGCUGAGGCACGAAAGCGUUGGGGGAGCAAACAGGAUU